GAACAACUCAGUGGAAAGAGGACAUUCAGGGAAGAAUCCAAGAGGUGGAGGAGAAGAGCUUACAGAUUACUGGGGACUGGUCCUUGGCUGAGGAGGCAGUGAUGGUGAAAGAUGAGUGCCUCGUAGGAACAGUGAAGAGAUUGGUGUAGCUUCAGAAGGCACAAGGGGAGGCCGAGGUUCAAGAGGUAAGACUGAGCUGGGCAGAUGUUUUAACAGGAUCAUUCCAGCUACUGUGCUGAGAAUAGACUCCAGGAAGGGCAUGGCAGAAACAGGAAGACCAGUUAGGAGCGCAGCAAUAAUCCAGGGCAGAGAUGCUGCGAUUUGACCCAGCUUAAUAUGUUGGCUUGGCUCAGCACAGUCACAGGUGGACAGCCCAGUUCCACGCAGCACGUGUAGACCAGGCAAUAUACAACCACCAAGAGGGAUCUUGCUUCCUAUUGUGUCCGGAAUUGGUGGGUUCUUGGUCUCACUGACUUCAAGAAUGAAGCCGCGGACCCUCGUGGUGAGUAUUACAGUUCUUAAAGGUGGUGGGUCCAGAGUUUGUUCCUUCUGAUGUUCGGACUUGUUCGGAGUUUCUUCCUUCUGGUGGGUUCGUGGUCUCGCUGGCUUCAGGAGUGAAGCUGCAGACCUUCGUGGUGAGUGUUACAGCUCUUGAGGUGGCGCGUCUGGAGUUGUUCAUUCCUCCCGGUGGGUUCAUGGUCUCGCUGGCCUCAGGAGUGAAGCUGCAGACCUUUGCAGUGAGUGUUACAGCUCAUAAAGGCAAUGUGGAACCAAAGAGUGAGCAGCAUCAAGAUUUAUUGCAAAGAGCAAAAGAACAAAGCUUCCACAGCGUGGAAGGGGACCCCAAUGGGUUGCCACUGCUGGCUCCAGCAGCCUGCUUUCAUUCCCUUAUCUGACCCCACCCACUUCCUGCUGAUUGGCCCAUUUUACAGAGAGCUGAUUGGUCUGCUUUGGCAGCAUGCUGAUUGGUGAAUUUACUAUCCCUGAGCUAGACACAGAGUGCUGAUUGGUGUAUUUACAAUCCUCUAGCUAGACGUAAAAGUUCUCCAAGUCCCCACUAGAUUAGCAAGGCACAGAGCACUGAUUGGUGUAUUUACAAACCUUAAGCUAGACACAGAGUGCUGAUUGGUGCGUCUACAAACCUUGAGCUAGACACAGGGUGCUGAUUGGUGCGUUUACAAACCUUGAGCUAGAUACAGAGUGCUGAUUGGUGUAUUUACAAUCCUCUAGCUAGACAUAAAAGUUCUCCAAGUCCCUACUAGAUUAGCUAGACACAGAGCACUGAUUGGUGCAUUUACAAACCUUGAGCUAGCCACAGUGUGCUGACUGGUGCAUUUACAAACCUUGAGCUAGCCACAAAGUGCUGAUUGGCACAUUUACAAACCUUUAGUUAGACAUAAAAGUUCUCCAAGUCCCCACCUGACUCAGGAGCCCAGCUGGCUUCGCCUAGUGGAUCCCGCUCCAGGGCCACGUGAGGAGUUGCCCGACCAUCCCAUGCUGCGUGCCCACACUCCUUUGCCAUUGUGUAGUCGAUGGGACCAGGCUCCGUGGAGCAGGGGGGGUUAGGGCAUGGCGGGCUGCAGGUCCCAAGCCCUGCCCCGCAGGGAGGCGGCUGAGGCCCGGCAAGAAUUUGAGCAUGGCACAGGUGGGCCAACAGUGCUGGGGGACCCGGUGCACCCUCCACAGCUGAGCCCACGCCCACCCGGAACUCGUGCUGGCCCCAGUUCCUGCCCAUGCCUCUCCCUCCACACCUCCCCACAAACAGAGGGAGCCGGCUCUGGCCUCAGCCAGCCCAAAGAGGGGCCCCCACAGUGCAGUGGUGGGCUGAAGGGCUCCUUGAGCAUGGCCAGAGUGGACGCCGAGGCUGAGGAGGCACUGAGAGUGAGCGAGGGCUGCUAGCACAUUGUCACCUCUCAAUCCCCCCUCUAAACUGGACACUCCAACUGCUGUUGGGAAUUUGGCCGAUGACUGCUCUAGCUACUUCCUGCUGGAUAGGGGUGAUGAAGGGGCCCUGCAGUUGUAGUGUCCUCCAGAGGGGAACUCUUUAGGCCAGUGGAAGGGCCAGCAGGUCAGUCCAGGUGUCCUCGGUAGAAGUUGUUAGUUGAACUCAUUUGGGGUUCCAUUUGUAAGACCAUCUGUAGCUUGAUGGCCUCGAUUCUAGAGGAAACAAAUUUGACAAGAAGGUUAAAAAUACAGGGCCCAAAGGCAAGUAACAGCAAGAUGGCUGCCACAGGACCUAGAAAGGGGAGGGAGAAGCCAUGUGGCCCAACUCCAGAGGUUGGUAUAAGAGUUUGAAAGACGUUGCCUGAUUUCAGAAGCCUUUUCCUGUAAACACCGGGUGGCAUCUCACACUAUCCAUGACUGGUUAGUGUAAAAACAACAGUCUUCCCCUAAGAAGGUGCAGAGUCCUCCUUUCUCAGCAGUGAGGAGGUCUAGGCCUCGGUGGUUUUGGAGAGUCACUGCUGUCAAAGAGUCUAUUUGGGAUUGUAGAGUAAGGAUAGAUUUCGUUAUUUCUUGCAAACUGUCUGAAAAAUCCUUUGAGAGUGUCUGGUAGUAGGAUAAUGAAGUAGAUAAACUGGCUAUUCCGGUUCCUGUAGCAGUAACUAUUCCUAACCCUGUAAGUAGUGGUAUCAGUUGUAUGGCUCUGCACUGACAGACUUGAGUUUUGAGGGGUACUGAUAGGCUCUGAUUUCCUGGGGCAAUGUUAAUGUUGGGACUUAGAAAGACUAAGGUGCAGGUGCCUAUCCAGUUAGUGGGGAGGCAGAUGUAGGUCCACAUUCCACAUAGGAAGAAUAUACCUUGGCUGGGUAGACAGAACUUUACCCUGGCUUUUAAAGGAAUAGGAUACACUGUUUUUUCUUUACUACUUCUAUCUCUGUCUUUGACUUCUUCGUCUCUCUCUUUCUGACUGCCUCUGUCUGUCUCUUCCUCUCUCUGUCUCCUUCUCUUUGACUUCCUGUCUUUCUCUUUCUCUCUUUGUCUCUCUAUCUCUUCCUCUCUGACUUCUUGUCUCUUUCUGUCUUUCAUUUCUUCUGCCUCUGCCAUAUGCUUAUGCUGCUGUUCUCCCUUCUCCUUCCCCUUUUGAUGGCUUUGGCAGUGUAAGACUGCCACCUUCUUCGGUUUUUGCACUAUGUACAGUAACUCCAUGAUUUCCUUGUGGCAUUUAAUGGGGGUUCCCCGAGGUUGGGAACUCCCUUUCUUUCCAUAUUGCAGCAUGGGCAUGUAGGAUUACAUAAGCAUACUUGCUAUCUGUAUACACAUUUAUUCUUUUUCCCUUUCCCAGUACUAAGGCUCGGGUAAGUGCCACUAGUUCUGCUAACUGGGCACUUGUCCCUGGGGGAAGAGGCUUACUUUCAAGUACAGUUACAUCACUAACUAUGGUGUAACCUGCCCUUCGUAUCCCAUUCUUCACAAAUGAACUUCCAUUGGUAUAUAGGUUAAGGUCAGGAUUAGCUAAGGGGACUUCUAAGAGACCAUCUCGGGUGGCAUAAGUCUGGACUAUAAUUUGUUGGCAGCCAUGCUCAAUUGGUUCCCCAUCCUCUGGGAGAAAAGUGGCAGGGUUGAGGGCCACGCACAUGCAUAUUUGAAGCACCAGUCUCUCAAGAAGUAGUGCCUGGUAUCUAAGUAGGUGGUUGUCUGAUAGCCAUAAACUUCCUUUGGCACCUAGUGUGCCAUUUACAUCAUGAGUAGUCCAGACAGUGAGAUCUUUUCCUUGUAGUAUCUUGAUAGCCUCUGACACUAAGAUGGCCACCACCACAGUGAGGCCAGCCUUUUGAUACUACAUCAAUUUCCUUACUUAUGUAUACCUGCCACUGGUUGUGUGGUUGUCCCACGAGUCUGAGUAAGGACUCCAAGAGCUAUCCCUGCUCUCUCUGUGACGUAUAAAGAGAAGUUUUGUCCUGUCAGAAGGCUUAAAACUGGAGCUUGUGCGAGGGCCUGCUUUAAGGUUUUGAAGGCUGUUUCUGCCUCUGGUUCCCAUUCUACUAGAUGAAUAUUUGCCCUCUGGGUUUCCUUGAUUAGAGUAUAGAGGGGCCUGGCUAUCUCGCUGUAUCUGGGGAUCCAUGGUCAGCAAAAGCCAGUAAUUCCAAGGAACCCCCGCAACUGUUUUAAUGUCUUAGGGCAAGGAUAAGCCAGUAUAGGCUGUAUUCAUUCCUUGCUGAGGGCCCUGGUCCCUCUGGCUAAGAUUAGGUCUAGAUAUUUGACCUGCUGUAGGCAAAGCUGGGUCUUCGACCUAGACCCCUCUAUCCUUGAUUAGCUAGAAAGUUCAAGAGAUCUAAAGUAGCCUGCUGGCAUGAGGCUUCUGAAAUGGUAGCCAAAAGUAAAUCAUCCACAUACUGAAGGACCAGAGUGCCUGGACUUUAGAAGUGGCCUAGAUCUUGGGCCGUGCCUCACCAAACAGAUGAGGGCUAUCCCUAAACCCUUGGGGCAAGAUCAUCCAAGUAAGUUGUGAUGUGUGGUCUGUGGGAUCCUCAAAGGCAAAGAGAAACUGGGAGUCAGAGUGCAGGGGAAGACAGAAGGCAGCAUCCUUAAGGUCCAGAACUGUGAACCAUCCUGCUUCUUCUGGUAUUUGAGAGAGCAGGGUAUAGGGGUUGGGUACAACUGGAUAUAGAGGAAUUACUGCCUCAUUGAUGAGUCUAAGAUCUUGCACUAAUCUCCACUGACCAUUCGGCUUUUGUACUCCUAGAAUUGGGGUGUUGCAAAGACUGCUGCAUUUCCUUACUAAGCUUGAGCUUUUAAAUGUUUAACAAUAUCAUGUAAACCUUUAUGAGCUUCAGGCCUUAAGGGAUAUUGCCUUUGAUAAGGAAAAGUGGCGGGAUCUUUUAACCUGAUUUGGACUGGGCAGGCAUUUUUUUGCCCUUCCAAAUUGUCCUUCCAAUGCCCAGACGUCAGGGUUGAUUCCCUCCUCAAGUAGAGGACAACAAAUGGGUAACUUCUUCCCCAUAUUCAUGUAGAUAAUAGCUCCAGCCUUGGCUAAUAUAUCUCUCCCUAAUAAGGGUGUGGGACUUUCAGGCAUAACAAGAAAGGCAUGUGAAAAGAGCAAAGUCUCCCAAUUACAACUGAGGAGGUGGAAGAAAUCCCUGGUUACAGGCUGUCCCAGGAUUCCUCGGAUGGUAACGGACCUUGAGGACAGUCGUCCAGAACAGGAGAUUAACACUGAGAAGGCCACACCAGUGUCCAGGAGGAAGUCAAUUUCCUGGCCCUCAAUGGUUAAGCAUACCUGGGGUUCAGUGAGGGUGAUGACAUGAGCUGGCGCUUGCCCCGGGCACCCUCAGUCCUGUUGUCGGAUCAUCUGGUUGGGGGCUUCUGACCCAGAGAACAUUUGUCCUCUGGGGCAGUGUACCUUCCAGUGAUUGCCUCGGCAUAGUGGACAUGGAUGAGGGGACAGCUUGUGUCUCAUUGGACAAUCUUUUUUUAAAGUGUCCUAAUAAACCACACUGAUAAUAAGCCCUACUGGGUGGUGAUUGGCCUGCUCCAUUUUCUGUCCUCUCUGAGCCACCAAGGUUUGUUUGUCUGAGGGCCAUGAUUAAGGCUGCAGCCUUUCUCUGAUCUCGCUUUUCCUUUUGGGCCUGUUCCUCUUGGUCCCUAUUAUACAACACCAAGGUUACCAGGUUUAAUAAUGCCUCCAAAUUUUUUUCAGGGCCCAGGGCUUGCUUUUGGAACUUUCUCCUGAUAUCUGUGGCUGAUUGGGUAAUAAACUUAUCUUUUAGAAUCAAUUGACCCUCGAGUGAUUCAGGUGACAGGGGAGUAUAUUUUCUUAAGGCCUCCCAUAGUCACUCGAGGAAGGCAGAAGGAUUUUCUUCCUUUCCCUGAGUUAUGGUGGACAUCAUUGAAUAAUUCAUGGGCUUUUUAAUAAUUCUCCUUAGUCCUUCUAGAACACAGGUCAAAAGAUGUUUACAACUCCAGUCCUCAUGAUCUGAGUCAAGGUCCCAGUGGGGAUCCAUACUGGGGAUGGCUUGCUGACCGGUAGGGAAUUUAUCCCUUUCUUUGGUUGUCAUUCUAUCAUUUACUUGACUAAGAUACCACGUAUCUCCAAACUCUCAGGCUGCAGCUAAAGCUUCAUUCUUUUCAUUAAGGCCAGGGUUUGAUCUAACAGUAGCAUGACAUCUCUCCAAGCGAGGUCGAAGGUUUGCCCUAGACCCUGUAGGACAUCUAGGUACCUAUCAGGAUCAUCUGAAAACUUUGCCAGGUCUGCCUUGAUCUGCUUUAAGUCAGAGAGGGAGAAGGGGACAUGUACCUGGGUUGGGCCAAAUUCCCCUCCCCCUACAGCUUGAAGGGGACAUAACCGAUAGCCCGGGGGGGGGUUUGUGGUGCUUUGGAUAUUUCUUUGCUUAUUUCCUUCUGGGCAGGGGAGAUUAGAAGAGGAUUAUCAUUAAUAGGAAGGGGAGCUAUAGGGAGGCUAGGAUAUGGGGGUAAGCUGAGAGGUCCUCCUGUGGGAUGUAACUUGCAAGCUUUGCAUAGUUGU
rnacentral:lncRNA from 1 species